rnacentral:rRNA from 1 species
AUUGAACGCUGGCGGCAUGCCUUACACAUGCAAGUCGAACGGUAACAGGUCUUCGGAUGCUGACGAGUGGCGAACGGGUGAGUAAUACAUCGGAACGUGCCUAGUAGUGGGGGAUAACUACUCGAAAGAGUGGCUAAUACCGCAUGAGAUCUACGGAUGAAAGCAGGGGAUCGCAAGACCUUGUGCUACUAGAGCGGCCGAUGGCAGAUUAGGUAGUUGGUGGGAUAAAAGCUUACCAAGCCGACGAUCUGUAGCUGGUCUGAGAGGACGAUCAGCCACACUGGGACGGAGACAGGGCCCAGACUCCUACGGGAGGCAGCAGUGGGGAAUUUUGGACAAUGGGCGCAAGCCUGAUCCAGCAAUGCCGCGUGCAGGAUGAAGGCCUUCGGGUUGUAAACUGCUUUUGUACGGAACGAAAAGCCCUGGGUUAAUACCCUGGGGUCAUGACGGUACCGUAAGAAUAAGCACCGGCUAACUACGUGCCAGCCGCCGCGGUAAAAC